rnacentral:rRNA from 1 species
AACCUGUAAGUAAUCGAUAAUCCMCGAUAAUUCUUACUUUUAUUUAAAUUUUAUAUACCUCCAUCUUAAGAAUUUAUUUUUACAAUUAUAUUCCAAAAAGAUAUCUAAUAAGUUAGGUAAAGGUGUAGACUAUAUAAAAGAUAUAGUGGGUUACUUUAAAUAAAAUUUAAGGAAAAAAAAAAAAAUUUUUUUUAUAAAAAGGAUUUAUUAGUAAUGUUAAAAUAAUAAUUUAACUUGAAAUUGAUAAAAAAUGUGU